rnacentral:snRNA from 1 species
AUCCCCUGAGCCACGGUGCUUCCCAGGGAGGGGCUCAUCCAUUGCGCUCCGGUUGUUUCGACCCCCACGAUUUCCCCAAAUGCGGGAAACUCAACGGUGGAAUGUGUAGUAGGGGGACCUGGGUUCUCCCUCUUCCCAA